rnacentral:rRNA from 1 species
AUUGAACGCUGGCGGGAGGCCUAACACAUGCAAGUCGAACGAGUGGCGGACGGUGAGUACUGUCUGGGAAACUGCCGGAUUGAGGGGGAUAACUACUGGAAACGGUAGCUAAUACCGCAUACCAUCAGCUGUGCCCAGAUGGGAUUAGCUAGUUGGUGGGGUAACGUCUCACCAAGGCGACGAUCCCUAGCUGUUCUGAGAGUAUGACCAGCCACACUUGAACUGAGACCCGGUCCAGCCGCCUACGGGAGGCAGCAGUGGGGAAUAUUGCACAAUGGGCGCAAGCCUGUUGCAGCCAUGCCGCGUGUAGGAAGAAGGCCUUCGGUUUGUAAAUUACUUUCAGCGGGGAGGCGUUACCCGCAGAAGAAGCGCCGGCUAACUCCGUGCCAGCAGCCGCGGUAAUUC